GCCGAGCGGUAGAGAUCUUUCGGGAUCUUGAGAGCGGCGUACGGGUGCGGAACACGUGUGCAACCUGCCUUUAUCAGGGGGAUAGCCUUUCGAAAGGAAGAUUAAUACCCCAUAAUAUAUCGAGUGGCAUCACUUGAUAUUGAAAACUCCGGUGGAUAGAGAUGGGCACGCGCAAGAUUAGAUAGUUGGUGAGGUAACGGCUCACCAAGUCUGCGAUCUUUAGGGGGCCUGAGAGGGUGAUCCCCCACACUGGUACUGAGACACGGACCAGACUCCUACGGGAGGCAGCAGUGAGGAAUAUUGGACAAUGGGUGCGAGCCUGAUCCAGCCAUCCCGCGUGAAGGAUGACGGCCCUAUGGGUUGUAAACUUCUUUUGUAUAGGGAUAAACCUACCCUCGUGAGGGUAGCUGAAGGUACUAUACGAAUAAGCACCGGCUAACUCCGUGCCAGCAGCCGCGGUAAUACGGAGGGUGCAAGCGUUAUCCGGAUUUAUUGGGUUUAAAGGGUCCGUAGGCGGAUCUGUAAGUCAGUGGUGAAAUCUCACAGCUUAACUGUGAAACUGCCAUUGAUACUGCAGGUCUUGAGUGUUGUUGAAGUAGCUGGAAUAAGUAGUGUAGCGGUGAAAUGCAUAGAUAUUACUUAGAACACCAAUUGCGAAGGCAGGUUACUAAGCAACAACUGACGCUGAUGGACGAAAGCGUGGGGAGCGAACAGGAUUAGAUACCCUGGUAGUCCACGCCGUAACGAUGCUAACUCGUUUUUGGUAUUUCGGUAUCAGAGACUAAGCGAAAGUGAUAAGUUAGCCACCUGGGGAGUACGAACGCAAGUUUGAAACUCAAAGGAAUUGACGGGGGCCCGCACAAGCGGUGGAUUAUGUGGUUUAAUUCGAUGAUACGCGAGGAACCUUACCAAGGCUUAAAUGGGAAAUGACAGGCUUAGAAAUAGGCUUUUCUUCGGACAUUUUUCAAGGUGCUGUAUGGUUGUCGUCAGCUCGUGCCGUGAGGUGUUAGGUUAAGUCCUGCAACGAGCGCAACCCCUGUCACUAGUUGCCAUCAUUAAGUUGGGGACUCUAGUGAGACUGCCUACGCAAGUAGAGAGGAAGGUGGGGAUGACGUCAAAUCAUCACGGCCCUUACGCCUUGGGCCACACACGUAAUACAAUGGCCGGUACAGAGGGCAGCUACACAGCGAUGUGAUGCAAAUCUCGAAAGCCGGUCUCAGUUCGGAUUGGAGUCUGCAACUCGACUCUAUGAAGCUGGAAUCGCUAGUAAUCGCGCAUCAGCCAUGGCGCGGUGAAUACGUUCCCGGGCCUUGUACACACCGCCCGUCAAGCCAUGGAAGUCUGGGGUAC
rnacentral:rRNA from 2 species